AACGAACGCUGGCGGCAGGCCUAAUACAUGCAAGUCGAACGCACCUUCGGGUGAGUGGCAGACGGGUGAGUAACGCGUGGGAACCUUCCUUGUAGUACGGAAUAACUCCGGGAAACCGGUGCUAAUACCGUAUACGCCCUCCGGGGGAAAGAUUUAUCGCUACAAGAUGGGCCCGCGUUGGAUUAGCUAGUUGGCGAGGUAAUGGCUCACCAAGGCGACGAUCCAUAGCUGGUCUGAGAGGAUGAUCAGCCACACUGGGACUGAGACACGGCCCAGACUCCUACGGGAGGCAGCAGUAGGGAAUCUUGGACAAUGGGCGAAAGCCUGAUCCAGCCAUGCCGCGUGAGUGAAGAAGGCCUUAGGGUUGUAAAGCUCUUUUGGCGGGGACGAUAAUGACGGUACCCGCAGAAUAAGCCCCGGCUAACUUCGUGCCAGCAGCCGCAGUAAAAC
rnacentral:rRNA from 1 species